AGGAUGAACGUUGGCGGCGUGCCUAACACAUGCAAGUCGAACGCAGAUAGCAAUAUUUGAGUGGCGCACGGGUGAGUAACACGUAGCUUAUCUACCUCAAAGCGCGGGAUAACGUGUCGAAAGACAAGGCUAAUACCGCAUAAGCUCACGAUCUCUAGAGGGUUGUGAGAAAAGGUUUCGAUCACUUUGAGAUGAGGCUGCGGCCCAUCAGCGUAGUUGGGGUAGUAAAAGCACACCAAGGCAACGACGGGUAGGGACCUGAGAGGUCGACCCCCCACGACUGGGACUGGACGACGACCGGCCCAAGACCUCCGUACGGGAGGACGAGCGAGGUGAAGGAAUA
rnacentral:rRNA from 1 species